UUUAUGGAGAGUUUGAUCCUGGCUCAGGAUGAACGCUGGCGGCGUGCCUAAUACAUGCAAGUCGAGCGAACAGACGAGGAGCUUGCUCCUUUGACGUUAGCGGCGGACGGGUGAGUAACACGUAGGUAACCUACCUAUAAGACUGGGAUAACUUCGGGAAACCGGAGCUAAUACCGGAUAAUAUUUCGAACCGCAUGGUUCGAUAGUGAAAGAUGGCUUUGCUAUCACUUAUAGAUGGACCUGCGCCGUAUUAGCUAGUUGGUAAGGUAACGGCUUACCAAGGCAACGAUACGUAGCCGACCUGAGAGGGUGAUCGGCCACACUGGAACUGAGACACGGUCCAGACUCCUACGGGAGGCAGCAGUAGGGAAUCUUCCGCAAUGGGCGAAAGCCUGACGGAGCAACGCCGCGUGAGUGAUGAAGGUCUUCGGAUCGUAAAACUCUGUUAUUAGGGAAGAAC
rnacentral:rRNA from 1 species